UACGUAGGGUGCGAGCGUUAAUCGGAAUUACUGGGCGUAAAGCGUGCGCAGGCGGUUUUGUAAGCCAGAUGUGAAAUCCCCGAGCUUAACUUGGGAACUGCAUUUGGGACUGCAAGGCUAGAGUACGGCAGAGGGGGGUGGAAUUCCGCGUGUAGCAGUGAAAUGCGUAGAGAUGCGGAGGAACACCGAUGGCGAAGGCAGCCCCCUGGGCUGACACUGACGCUCAGGCACGAAAGCGUGGGGAGCAAACAGG
rnacentral:rRNA from 1 species